GGGGUUGGGGAUUUAGCUCAGUGGUAGAGCGCUUGCCUAGGAAGCGCAAGGCCCUGGGUUCGGUCCCCAGCUCCGAAAAAAAGAACCAAGAAAAAAAAAGAAAACAGGAU
rnacentral:scRNA from 1 species